AGGAUGAACGCUGGCGGCGUGCCUAAUACAUGCAAGUCGAGCGGUAAGGCCUCUUCGGAGGUACACGAGCGGCGGACGGCUGAGUAACACGUAGGAACGUACCCCAAACUGAGGGAUAAGCACCAGAAAUGGUGUCUAAUACCGCAUGUGCUCUUCGGAGUAAAGCUACGGCGGUUUGGGAACGGCCUGCGCAUGAUUAGCUAGUUGGUGAGGUAAUAGCUCACCAAGGCUACGAUCAUUAGCUGGUCUGAGAGGAUGAUCAGCCAGACUGGGACUGAGAACGGCCCAGACUCCUACGGGAGGCAGCAGUAGGGAAUUUUCCACAAUGGGCGAAAGCCUGAUGGAGCAAACGCCGCGUGCAGGAUGAAUGCCUUCGGGUUGUAAACUGCUUUUAUAUGUGACGAAUAUGACGGUAGCAUAUGAAUAAGGAUCGGCUAACUCCGUGCCAGCAGCCGC
rnacentral:rRNA from 1 species